UACGUAGGUGGCAAGCGUUGUCCGGAUUUACUGGGCGUAAAGGGCGUGCAGGCGGUUUGUUAAGUGCAGGGUGAAAGCUCCCGGCUCAACUGGGAGAGGUCCUUGCAUACUGGCAGACUUGAGGGAGGCAGAGGAAAGUGGAAUUCCCGGUGUAGUGGUGAUAUGCGUAGAUAUCGGGAGGAACACCUGUGGCGAAGGCAGCUCGCUGGGACGUGACUGACGCUGAGACGCGAAAGCGUGGGGAGCAAACAGG
rnacentral:rRNA from 1 species